AACGAACGCUGGCGGCGUGCCUAACACAUGCAAGUCGAGCGGGAAAGCCCGCAAGGGUGAGUACAGCGGCGCACGGGUGCGUAACACGUGGGUAAUCUGCCCUGAAGCCCGGAAUAACCUCCCGAAAGGGAAGCUAAUACCGGAUAAGACCACGGGAGCCUCGGCUCCUGCGGGAAAAGGUGGCCUCUGCAUGCAAGCUAUCAUUUCAGGAUGAGCCCGCGGCCCAUCAGCUCGUUGGCGGGGUAAUGGCCCACCAAGGCUACGACGGGUAGCUGGUCUGAGAGGACGAUCAGCCACACUGGAACUGAGACACGGUCCAGACUCCUACGGGAGGCAGCAGUGGGGAAUCUUGCGCAAUGGGCGAAAGCCUGACGCAGCAACGCCGCGUGUGUGAUGAAGGUCUUCGGAUCGUAAUGCACUGUCGGGAGGGACGAAUAAGGGCCAGGUGAACAAUCUGGUCUGAUGACGGUACCUCCAAAGGAAGCACCGGCUAACUCUGUGCCAGCCGCCGCUGUAACAC
rnacentral:rRNA from 1 species